GACGAACGCUGGCGGCGUGCUUAACACAUGCAAGUCGAACGAAGAGCGAUGGAAGCUUGCUUCUAUCAAUCUUAGUGGCGAACGGGUGAGUAACGCGUAAUCAACCUGCCCUUCAGAGGGGGACAACAGUUGGAAACGACUGCUAAUACCGCAUACGAUCUAAUCUCGGCAUCGAGGAUAGAUGAAAGGUGGCCUCUACAUGUAAGCUAUCACUGAAGGAGGUGAUUGCGUCUGAUUAGCUAGUUGGAGGGGUAACGGCCCACCAAGGCGAUGAUCAGUAGCCGGUCUGAGAGGAUGAACGGCCACAUUGGGACUGAGACACGGCCCAGACUCCUACGGGAGGCAGCAGUGGGGAAUCUUCCGCAAUGGACGAAAGUCUGACGGAGCAACGCCGCGUGAGUGAUGACGGCCUUCGGGUUGUAAAGCUCUGUUAAUCGGGACGAAAGGCCUUCUUGCGAAUAGGGAGAAGGAUUGACGGUACCGGAAUAGAAAGCCACGGCUAACUACGUG
rnacentral:rRNA from 1 species